UGGGGAAUAUUGCACAAUGGGCGAAAGCCUGAUGCAGCGACGCCGCGUGAGGGAUGACGGCCUUCGGGUUGUAAAACCUCUUUCAGCAGGGAAGAAGCGAAAGUACGGUACCUGCAGAAGAAGCGCCGGCUAACUACGUGCCAGCAGCCGCGGUAAUACGUAGGGCGCAAGCGUUGUCCGGAAUUAUUGGGCGUAAAGAGCUCGUAGGCGGUUAGUCGCGUCUGCUGUGAAAACUCGAGGCUCAACCUCGGGCUUGCAGUGGGUACGGGCUGACUAGAUGCGGUAGGGGUGACUGGAAUUCCUGGUGUAGCGGUGGAAUGCGCAGAUAUCAGGAGGAACACCGAUGGCGAAGGCAGGUCACUGGGCCGCAACUGACGCUGAGGAGCGAAAGCAUGGGGAGCGAACAGGAUUAGAUAGCCCUGGUAGUCCAUGCCGUAAACGUUGGGCACUAGGUGUGGGGUCCAUUCCGCGGAUUCCGUGCCGCAGCAAACGCAUUAAGUGCCCCCGCCUGGGGAGUACGGCCGCAAGGCUAAAACUCAAAUGAAUUG
rnacentral:rRNA from 1 species